rnacentral:rRNA from 1 species
AUUGAACGCUGGCGGCAGGCCUAACACAUGCAAGUCGAACGUGAAAGCUCCUUCGGGAGUAAGUAGAGUGGCGAACGGGUGAGUAACGCGUAGAAAUCUUCCCAAGAGUGGGGAACAACCCGGAGAAAUCCGGGCUAAUACCGCAUAUACCCUACGGGGCAAAGUGGGGGACCUUUCGGGGCCUCACGCUUUUGGAUGAGUCUGCGUCGGAUUAGCUUGUUGGUAGGGUAAUGGCCUACCAAGGCGACGAUCCGUAGCUGGUCUGAGAGGAUGACCAGCCACACUGGGACUGAGACACGGCCCAGACUCCUACGGGAGGCAGCAGUGGGGAAUAUUGGACAAUGGGGGCAACCCUGAUCCAGCCAUGCCGCGUGUGUGAAGAAGGCCUUCGGGUUGUAAAGCACUUUCAGUGGGGAAGAAAAGCCUAAGGAUAAUACCCUUGGGUCUUGACGGUACCUACAGAAGAAGCACCGGCUAAUUCCGUG